GAUGAACGCUGGCGGCGUGCUUAACACAUGCAAGUCGAACGAGAAGUGAAGACGGAAACCUUCGGGCGGAAGGCUUUAUUUCGAGUGGCGGACGGGUGAGUAACGCGUGGGUAACCUGCCUCAUACAGGGGGAUAACAGUUGGAAACGACUGUUAAUACCGCAUAAGACCACAGCACCGCAUGGUGCGGGGGUAAAAACUCCGGUGGUAUGAGAUGGACCCGCGUUCGAUUAGCCAGUUGGCGGGGUAACGGCCCACCAAAGCGACGAUCGGUAGCCGAUCUGAGAGGAUGACCGGCCACACUGGGACUGAGACACGGCCCAAACUCCUACGGGAGGCAGCAGUGGGGAAUAUUGCACAAUGGGGGAAACCCUGAUGCAGCGACGCCGCGUGAGUGAAGAAGUAUUUCGGUAUGUAAAGCUCUAUCAGCAGGGAAGAAAAUGACGGUACCUGAGUAAGAAGCCCCGGCUAACUACGUG
rnacentral:rRNA from 1 species